rnacentral:misc_RNA from 1 species
AGCAGCCGCGGUAAUUCCAGCUCCAAUAGCGUAUAUUAAAGUUGUUGCAGUUAAAAGCUCGUAGCUGAAUUUCGGGAUCAAUACGUCGGUCGUGCUUCGGUACGUACUGGCGUAAUUGAUUUCUCCCUUCUGACGAACCAUGAUGUCAUUAACUUGGUGUCAUGGGAAAUCAGGACUGUUACUUUGAAAAAUUAGAGUGUUUAAAGCAGGCUCACGCUUGAAUACAUUAGCAUGGAAUAAUGAAAUAGGACGUUCGAUCCUAUUUGUUGGUUUUAGGAUCAACGUAAUGAUUAAUAGGGAUAGUUGGGGGCAUUAGUAUUCAAUUGUCAGAGGUGAAAUUCUUGGAUUUAUUGAAGACUAACUACUGCGAAAGCAUUUGCCAAGGAUUGUUUCAUUAAUCAAGAACGAAGUUAGGGAUCGAAGACGAUCAGAUACCGUCGUAGUCUUAACCAUAAACUAUGCCACGUAGGAUCGGAUGAUGUUUAAUUUUUAAUGUACU